rnacentral:rRNA from 1 species
UUUUUACAAUGGAGAGUUUGAUCCUGGCUCAGGAUGAACGCUAGCGGCAGGCCUAACACAUGCAAGUCGAGGG